AACACGUGGGUGACCUGCCUUCGAGCGGGGGAUAACGUCCCGAAAGGGACGCUAAUACCGCAUGACAUCCUGCUCUUAGACGAGUGGAGAUCAAAGCCGGGGAUCGCAAGACCUGGCACUCGAAGAGGGGCCCGCGGCUGAUUAGCUAGUUGGUGGGGUAAUGGCUCACCAAGGCAACGAUCAGUAUCCGGCCUGAGAGGGCGGACGGACACACUGGGACUGAGACACGGCCCAGACUCCUACGGGAGGCAGCAGUGGGGAAUUGUUCGCAAUGGGCGCAAGCCUGACGACGCAACGCCGCGUGGAGGACGAAGAUCUUCGGGUCGUAAACUCCUGUCGAG
rnacentral:rRNA from 1 species